GGUUAAGCGACUAAGCGUACACGGUGGAUGCCCUGGCAGUCAGAGGCGAUGAAGGGCGUGCUAAUCUGCGAUAAGCGCCGGUAAGGUGAUAUGAACCGUUAUAACCGGCGAUACCCGAAUGGGGAAACCCAGUGUGACUCGUCACACUAUCAUUAACUGAAUCCAUAGGUUAAUGAGGCGAACCGGGGGAACUGAAACAUCUAAGUACCCCGAGGAAAAGAAAUCAACCGAGAUUCCCCCAGUAGCGGCGAGCGAACGGGGAGGAGCCCAGAGCCUGAAUCAGCAUGUGUGUUAGUGGAAGCGUCUGGAAAGUCGCGCGAUACAGGGUGACAGCCCCGUACACAAAAGCGCAUGUGCUGUGAGCUCGAUGAGUAGGGCGGGACACGUGGUAUCCUGUCUGAAUAUGGGGGGACCAUCCUCCAAGGCUAAAUACUCCUGACUGACCGAUAGUGAACCAGUACCGUGAGGGAAAGGCGAAAAGAACCCCGGCGAGGGGAGUGAAAAAGAACCUGAAACCGUGUACGUACAAGCAGUGGGAGCCCCACCACUAAGCCAGUGGUGAACUCCACAUACGCAUCCUUUGCUGAGGAUACGGUUAACGGAGCGAAAGCGACGUUCAACCUCAAAAGAAGCAGAGGGGGCUUAGUGGUGGGGUGACUGCGUACCUUUUGUAUAAUGGGUCAGCGACUUAUAUUCUGUAGCAAGGUUAACCGCAUAGGGGAGCCGGAGGGAAACCGAGUCUUAAUUGGGCGUUAAGUUGCAGGGUAUAGACCCGAAACCCGGUGAUCUAGCCAUGGGCAGGUUGAAGGUUGGGUAACACUAACUGGAGGACCGAACCGACUAAUGUUGAAAAAUUAGCGGAUGACCUGUGGCUGGGGGUGAAAGGCCAAUCAAACCGGGAGAUAGCUGGUUCUCCCCGAAAGCUAUUUAGGUAGCGCCUCGUGAAUUCAUCUCCGGGGGUAGAGCACUGUUUCGGCUAGGGGGCCAUCCCGGCUUACCAACCCGAUGCAAACUGCGAAUACCGGAGAAUGUUAUCACGGGAGACACACGGCGGGUGCUAACGUCCGUCGUGAAGAGGGAAACAACCCAGACCGCCAGCUAAGGUCCCAAAGUCAUGGUUAAGUGGGAAACGAUGUGGGAAGGCCCAGACAGCCAGGAUGUUGGCUUAGAAGCAGCCAUCAUUUAAAGAAAGCGUAAUAGCUCACUGGUCGAGUCGGCCUGCGCGGAAGAUGUAACGGGGCUAAACCAUGCACCGAAGCUGCGGCAGCGACACUCAGGUGUUGUUGGGUAGGGGAGCGUUCUGUAAGCCUGUGAAGGUGGCCUGUGAGGGUUGCUGGAGGUAUCAGAAGUGCGAAUGCUGACAUAAGUAACGAUAAAGCGGGUGAAAAGCCCGCUCGCCGGAAGACCAAGGGUUCCUGUCCAACGUUAAUCGGGGCAGGGUGAGUCGACCCCUAAGGCGAGGCCGAAAGGCGUAGUCGAUGGGAAACGGGUUAAUAUUCCCGUACUUGGUGUUACUGCGAAGGGGGGACGGAGAAGGCUAUGUUGGCCGGGCGACGGUUGUCCCGGUUUAAGCGUGUAGGUGUGUGUUCCAGGUAAAUCCGGUUCACUUUAACACUGAGGCGUGACGACGAGGCACUACGGUGCUGAAGCAACAAAUGCCCUGCUUCCAGGAAAAGCCUCUAAGCAUCAGGUAACAUCAAAUCGUACCCCAAACCGACACAGGUGGUCAGGUAGAGAAUACCAAGGCGCUUGAGAGAACUCGGGUGAAGGAACUAGGCAAAAUGGUGCCGUAACUUCGGGAGAAGGCACGCUGACACGUAGGUGAAGUGAUUUACUCAUGGAGCUGAAGUCAGUCGAAGAUACCAGCUGGCUGCAACUGUUUAUUAAAAACACAGCACUGUGCAAACACGAAAGUGGACGUAUACGGUGUGACGCCUGCCCGGUGCCGGAAGGUUAAUUGAUGGGGUCAGCGCAAGCGAAGCUCCUGAUCGAAGCCCCGGUAAACGGCGGCCGUAACUAUAACGGUCCUAAGGUAGCGAAAUUCCUUGUCGGGUAAGUUCCGACCUGCACGAAUGGCGUAAUGAUGGCCAGGCUGUCUCCACCCGAGACUCAGUGAAAUUGAACUCGCUGUGAAGAUGCAGUGUACCCGCGGCAAGACGGAAAGACCCCGUGAACCUUUACUAUAGCUUGACACUGAACAUUGAGCCUUGAUGUGUAGGAUAGGUGGGAGGCUUUGAAGUGUGGACGCCAGUCUGCAUGGAGCCGACCUUGAAAUACCACCCUUUAAUGUUUGAUGUUCUAACGUGGACCCGUAAUCCGGGUUGCGGACAGUGUCUGGUGGGUAGUUUGACUGGGGCGGUCUCCUCCUAAAGAGUAACGGAGGAGCACGAAGGUUGGCUAAUCCUGGUCGGACAUCAGGAGGUUAGUGCAAUGGCAUAAGCCAGCUUGACUGCGAGCGUGACGGCGCGAGCAGGUGCGAAAGCAGGUCAUAGUGAUCCGGUGGUUCUGAAUGGAAGGGCCAUCGCUCAACGGAUAAAAGGUACUCCGGGGAUAACAGGCUGAUACCGCCCAAGAGUUCAUAUCGACGGCGGUGUUUGGCACCUCGAUGUCGGCUCAUCACAUCCUGGGGCUGAAGUAGGUCCCAAGGGUAUGGCUGUUCGCCAUUUAAAGUGGUACGCGAGCUGGGUUUAGAACGUCGUGAGACAGUUCGGUCCCUAUCUGCCGUGGGCGCUGGAGAACUGAGGGGGGCUGCUCCUAGUACGAGAGGACCGGAGUGGACGCAUCACUGGUGUUCGGGUUGUCAUGCCAAUGGCACUGCCCGGUAGCUAAAUGCGGAAGAGAUAAGUGCUGAAAGCAUCUAAGCACGAAACUUGCCCCGAGAUGAGUUCUCCCUGAGACUUAGAGUCUCCUGAAGGAACGUUGAAGACGACGACGUUGAUAGGCCGGGUGUGUAAGCGCAGCGAUGCGUUGAGCUAACCGGUACUAAUGAACCGUGAGGCUUAACCUU
rnacentral:rRNA from 1 species